rnacentral:rRNA from 1 species
AUUGAACGCUGGCGGCAGGCCUAACACAUGCAAGUCGAGCGAGCGGCGGACGGGGGAGGAAUGUCUGGGAAACUGCCGGAUGGAGGGGGAUAACUACUGGAAACGGUAGCUAAUACCGCAGACCAUCAGAUGUGCCCAGCUGGGAUUAGCUAGUCGGGGGGGUAACGGCUCACCUAGGCGACGAACCCUAGCUGGUAUGAGAGGAGGACCAGCCACACUGGAACUGAGACACGGGCCAGACUCCUACGGGAGGCAGCAGUGGGGAAUAUUGCACAAUGGGCGGAAGCCUGAUGCAGCCAGGCCGCGUGUGUGAAGAAGGCCUGCGGGUUGUAAAGCACUUUAAGUUGGGAGGCGUUACCAACAGAAUAAGCACCGGCUAACUUCGUGCCAGCAGCCGCGGUAAUAC